AAUUGCAGCAGCAACAAAAACCAUUGGCAGCUGCAGCACCUGAGUUUGCUGUUGGAUCAAGCCAUUACUCCCUGCUCCCAACUUUCCAGGAGGAUUUUGCAGCUUUUUGGCUGGGUCAAGCUGCACUGAAGUCAUGGACAGAGGACUUACCCCUGCCUGCUGGCUGACAGGUCACGGGGUGGAGGAGGAGUAGCGCUGAAGGCACCAUCCCCUUGUCCUGAUGCUUUCCAAGGAUGUCUUUGCCAGGAGCAAGCACGCUCGUGGAUAACACAUGUGGCUGUGCGCAUUCCACCUGCAGAGAUGGCAGCUCUUUGUCUGGGCAGAUGAGUUUUCCAGAAGGAAUAGAAGGCUGCCAUCGAUUUUAUUAUUGAGUCAGUUUUAAUGAGUCACAGUAUUUUUGGAAGGCUUUUAAGAUUACUGUAAAGUGCUUAGUUACAGUGGCUACAGGUGCCAAGGCAGGAAAGGAAACAACAAAGAAAUGCACAGCAGCUGUAUUGCUACGCUUCCCCUCAGAACUGGGAUCAGCAGAACAACACACAUGGCAAAUGCAAAAGAAAAUAGGAGAAGAUGUAAGAGAUGACAGAAGUCAGCAUGGUCAGCUCCUACGCUAAAGCAAAAUGCAUUUUAUUUAAGGAACUGUCCGGUGCUCCUUAGCUGCGAGUUGGAAGGGGUCAGUGACAGGCUCCGGAUUGCCAGACGUUCAGUGAAUCGUGUGCUUGCCUUUCAAGCUGUCCUUUGGUUGUAAGUCAUUUGCUCCCAGAGCUGCCAAGCUCUGCCACUGCCAUCCUGUGUUGAAUGAAACUGUGGAAACAUCUCAUUUAGCAGAUGAGAGAAGGGAAGGCAGAGAAGGGGGAAAAGAGGUGGUGUGAAGAGAAAAAAAUUCAUUUUUUCUUUAUGACUUGAACAGACUUGCCUUUUUUUUUUUUAAAUUUUUUGCCAUUCUGAACGCACAAAGCAUGACUUCCAGAGCUCUUAAAGAUGAUCUGUGUUCUCUGGCAAAAAAUUAUUCCGUGUUUUCCACUAAACAGAAGGUGCUAGAAACCACAUUCUUAAUACCUGGAGAUGGACAAUGAACAGCCUGGGAAAUACAGUGCUGAAAGAAAAGCUUCCAGUUACCAUUCGAUGUGCCACCUGGAUUUUCAGAGUGUUCCAAUGAUGUUUGGACUCAGAGUCAGGCAGGCGCAGCAGCCCUGAGCUGGAGCAGGAGACUGAACACACACAGGGCUGCCUUUGCUCAUGCACAGCGAGUGUCGGGAUGCACAGCUGGACACUUGCAUGUGCAGAUUCCAGCCUGGAGCACUGCACACACCCCAGAAAUCACCUCAGACUCUGGAGGCCCAUUUUCCCUCCCCUCCUGCCUCCUCCACCCCCAUCAGCAGCGGGGGACAAGCAGAAUAUUCUCCAGGCACC